UUUCACAAUGGGCGCAACCUGAUGGAGCGACGCCGCGUGGGGGAUGAAGGGCUUCGGCUCGUAAACCCCUGUCAGUUGCGAACAAGGUUCACUCAAUAACACUGGGUGGAUUGAUAGUAGUGACAGAGGAAGGGACGGCUAACUCUGUGCCAGCAGCCGCGGUAAUACAGAGGUCCCGAGCGUUGUUCGGAUUCACUGGGCGUAAAGGGUGCGUAGGCGGCUUUGCAAGUCUGAUGUGAAAUCUCCGGGCCCAACCCGGAAAUGGCAUUAGAAACUGUGAGGCUGGAGGCUUGGAGGGGGAACUGGAAUGCUCGGUGUAGCAGUGAAAUGCGUAGAGAUCGAGCGGAACACCAGUGGCGAAGGCGAGUUCCUGGACAAGACCUGACGCUGAGGCACGAAAGCCAGGGGAGCAAACAGGAUUAGAUACCCUGGUAGUCCUGGCUGUAAACGGUGCACGUUUGCUGUAAGAGGAAUCGACCCCUUUUGUGGCGGGAGUAACGCGAUAAACGUGCCGCCUGGGGAGUACGGUCGCAAGAUUAAAACUCAAAGAAAUUGACGGGGGCCUGCACAAGCGGUGGAGUAUGUGGCUCAAUUCGAUGCAACGCGAAGAACCUUACCUGGCCUUGACAUGCACGUGGUAGAAGCCCGAAAGGGUAACGACCCCGCAAGGGGAGCGUGCACAGGUGCUGCAUGGCUGUCGUCAGCUCGUGUCGUGAGAUGUUGGGUUAAGUCCCGCAACGAGCGCAACCCUUGCGUCCUGUUGCCACCCUCUCGAGAGAGAGGAGCACUCUGGACGGACUGCCUCGCUUCAACGGGGAGGAAGGUGGGGAUGACGUCAGGUCAGUAUGGCCCUUACGGCCAGGGCUGCACACGUACUACAAUGCCCGGCACAGAGGGAAGCCAAACCGGAAGGUGGAGCAAAUCUCCCAAAAACCGGGCCCAGUUCAGAUUGAGGUCUGCAACUCGACCUCAUGAAGCUGGAAUCGCU
rnacentral:rRNA from 1 species